rnacentral:rRNA from 1 species
GCAAGUAGAACGCUGAAGAGAGGAGCUUGCUCUUCUUGGAUGAGUUGCGAACGGGUGAGUAACGCGUAGGUAACCUGCCUUGUAGCGGGGGAUAACUAUUGGAAACGAUAGCUAAUACCGCAUAACAAUGGAUGACACAUGUCAUUUAUUUGAAAGGGGCAAUUGCUCCACUACAAGAUGGACCUGCGUUGUAUUAGCUAGUAGGUGAGGUAACGGCUCACCUAGGCGACGAUACAUAGCCGACCUGAGAGGGUGAUCGGCCACACUGGGACUGAGACACGGCCCAGACUCCUACGGGAGGCAGCAGUAGGGAAUCUUCGGCAAUGGGGGCAACCCUGACCGAGCAACGCCGCGUGAGUGAAGAAGGUUUUCGGAUCGUAAAGCUCUGUUGUAAGUCAAGAACGAGUGUGAGAGUGGAAAGUUCACACUGUGACGGUAGCUUACCAGAAAGGGACGGCUAACUACGUGCCAGCAGCCGCGGUAAUACGUAGGUCCCGAGCGUUGUCCGGAUUUAUUGGGCGUAAAGCGAGCGCAGGCGGUUUGAUAAGUCUGAAGUUAAAGGCUGUGGCUCAACCAUAGUUCGCUUUGGAAACUGUCAAACUUGAGUGCAGAAGGGGAGAGUGGAAUUCCAUGUGUAGCGGUGAAAUGCGUAGAUAUAUGGAGGAACACCGGUGGCGAAAGCGGCUCUCUGGUCUGUAACUGACGCUGAGGCUCGAAAGCGUGGGGAGCGAACAGGAUUAGAUACCCUGGUAGUCCACGCCGUAAACGAUGAGUGCUAGGUGUUGGAUCCUUUCCGGGAUUCAGUGCCGCAGCUAACGCAUUAAGCACUCCGCCUGGGGAGUACGACCGCAAGGUUGAAACUCAAAGGAAUUGACGGGGGCCCGCACAAGCGG